rnacentral:rRNA from 1 species
AGCAGCCACCUUUUAAAACGCGUCAAAGCGUAACCUAAACCCCCCCAAAAUACCAUUAAUUUUCAUGAACCCCUAAUUUAUAAUGAAUGACUCCAUAUUUAUAUGGAAGACACCAUGCUAGGAUUAGUAACAAGAAUUUAUAAUUCUCCAAAAUGCAAAUAUAAACCAACAUGGAUAGACCAUUGGUAGUUACCGAACCUAAAUUUACUGCAAUAACACCCACAAGAAAACUCUGCAGUACUUACUCGUUAACCUAACACCAGCGCAUUACAGGAAAGAUUUAAAAAAAGAGAAGGAAUUCGGCAAAUGACGGCCCCGCCUGUUUACCAAAAACAUCGCCUCUUGACUUAUAAUAAGAGGUCCAGCCUGCCCAGUGAAUUUUAAACGGCCGCGGUAUCCUAACCGCGCGAAGGUAGCAUAAUCACUUGUUCUUUAAAUGGGGACUCGUAUCAACGGCAUCACGAGGGUUUUACUGUCUCCUCUUUUUGAUCAGUGAAAUUGAUCUUCCCGUGAAGAAGCGGGAAUAUUUUUAUAAGACGAGAAGACCCCAUGGAGCUUUAAACCAAAUAACAACUUAACUACUUAUCCCACAAUAAAUUUAAGCCCUGUUAUAAGGUUUUUGGUUGGGGUGACCGCGGAGUAAAGCACAUCCUCCACGACGGAAAGAACAUAAUCUUUAUUUAAGAACCACACUUCUAGAAAUUAGUAUACUAACGUUUACUGACCCGACAAUCGAUCAACGGACCAAGUUACCCUGGGGAUAACAGCGCAAUCUACUUCAAGAGCUCAUAUCGACAAGUAGGCUUACGACCUCGAUGUUGGAUCAGGGUAUCCCGGUGGUGCAGCCGCUACCGAAGGUUCGUUUGUUCAACGAUUAAAACCCUACGUGAUCU